AGCGAACGCUGGCGGCAGGCCUAACACAUGCAAGUCGAACGAACUGUUCGGAGUUAGUGGCGGACGGGUGAGUAACACGUGGGAACGUGCCUUUUGGUUCGGAAUAACUCAGGGAAACUUGUGCUAAUACCGAAUGUGCCCUUCGGGGGAAAGAUUUAUCGCCAUUAGAGCGGCCCGCGUCUGAUUAGCUAGUUGGUGAGGUAACGGCUCACCAAGGCGACGAUCAGUAGCUGGUCUGAGAGGAUGACCAGCCACACUGGGACUGAGACACGGCCCAGACUCCUACGGGAGGCAGCAGUGGGGAAUCUUGCGCAAUGGGCGAAAGCCUGACGCAGCCAUGCCGCGUGAAUGAUGAAGGUCUUAGGAUUGUAAAAUUCUUUCACCGGGGACGAUAAUGACGGUACCCGGAGAAGAAGCCCCGGCUAACUUCGUG
rnacentral:rRNA from 1 species